UACGUAGGGGGCAAGCGUUGUCCGGAUUUAUUGGGCGUAAAGAGCGUGUAGGCGGCCAGGUAGGUCUGCUGUGAAAACUCGAGGCUCAACCUCGAGAUGUCGGCGGAAACCAUCUGGCUAGAGUCCGGAAGAGGAAAGUGGAAUUCCCGGUGUAGCGGUGAAAUGCGCAGAUAUCAGGAAGAACACCCGUGGCGAAAGCGGCUCUCUGGAACGGUACUGACGCUGAGACGCGAAAGCGUGGGGAGCGAACAGG
rnacentral:rRNA from 1 species